CGAAAUGCGAUAAGUAAUGUGAAUUGCAGAAUUCAGUGAAUCAUCGAAUCUUUGAACGCACAUUACGCCCUUUGGCAUUCCGAGGGGCAUGCCUGUUCGAGCGUCAUUACACCAAUCAAGCCUGGCUUGGUAUUGGGCGACGGGGCCGUCACACGCCCCGCGCCCCAAUGACUCCCGGCGAGACGGAUCGUGUUCUCAGCGUUGUGGUCACAGAAGCCGCUGGCGAGACGAGACGCCUGUGCCGUUAAACCACCCAUCUUCUCAAGGUUGACCUCGGAUCAGGUAGGGAUACCCGCUGAACUUAAGC
rnacentral:misc_RNA from 1 species